rnacentral:rRNA from 1 species
UACGUAGGGUGCGAGCGUUGUCCAGAAUUACUGGGCGUAAAGAGCUCGUAGGUGGUUUGUCGCGUUGUUCGUGAAAACCGGGGGCUUAACCCUCGGCGUGCGGGCGAUACGGGCAGACUGGAGUACUGCAGGGGAGACUGGAAUUCCUGGUGUAGCGGUGGAAUGCGCAGAUAUCAGGAGGAACACCGGUGGCGAAGGCGGGUCUCUGGGCAGUAACUGACGCUGAGGAGCGAAAGCGUGGGGAGCGAACAGG